GCGACGGCCGAGGAUGGGGCAAGGAAAUCCGAGGUCUGAGGUUGGGCCCGAGUCGCCGGAGGCGCGACAGACCAACGAUGCCAGCUCAACAAAGCGGGUGCGGAGGGCCUAAAGAGCUGGGUCCUAUAGUCGGGAGCCGAGACACCGACCGCCUCUCUGCCCGCCCCCUUAAGCCCAGGGUUGGACCUGCGCCUGGGCUUUUAGCCCCAUCCCGCGCCCGCCGAGCCAAUCGGCGGCUGAGGUUCCACGCGCGUCACAAUGGGCGUCUGUGACGUCGAGGGGGUCACCUCGCCACGUGACCCCACCCCCGGAAGUCCUUCACGAAAUUCCUCCUCCUGACUCCCGGUACUUUUCAGCGGCCGCCUCCCUCUUAUCCCAUCCCACACGUCCUCCAUCCGUUCAGAAUCCGAUGUCGGUCCCCGGCCCGUCUUUACGCCACCGCGGGAAGAGGAAAACUCCUCGAACCCGCUGUACCAGCGCCAAGCUGCCUGUCCCGAGGCUGCUUUCCCGACGCCCAGGGCGCGGGUUGAGUCGGAACCCGGACGCCGGCUAGAAUUCCCGAAUCCGAGGGGACCUCCGCCUCUGCCUCGCUGGGCUCUGACCACGCCCCUUCCUAAGCCCCGCCCAGGGCUUGCGGGGAGGUUUCCGUGGCGACAGUAAACAACACUCAAGAGCUGCAGGAGCCACACCGCAGCCCUGCUCCCCCAACCCACGCUCCUGCAAAUCAGGUGAUCGAGAAUGACAGCGAAGUUGUUAUGAACUGAAACCGGGACACAUGGGGGCCCAGGUGGGGGCCAGGCCUGGGAGGGCCAGCCUGGGGGUCCAGGACACGUGGGCUGUGGUGCCAGGGUCUGCAACCCCCGGAAGAGGCAGCAGCAACUGGAGAACCAGGGAUUGAGAUCUAAGGGAGCAGACGUGCAGGUGGAGCCGGAUGUUGCGUGGGCCCAGGCAGCAGAGGUGGGACAAGACACCGGGAGCAAGAGGGACUCGUUCAAGCAAGACCUUGUAGUGUUUUCCUAGGAAGGAGCAGGCAACCUGCCCGGGCGGGGGCUCUCCCAGGCUAGGAGUAUGAGCAGCGGACAAAAAAAAAUCACUAGGCAUGGAAAGAAGCAGGAAGACAUUACCCAUAAUCAAGGGGAAAAUCUAUCAGGAGAAGCAGAUCGCUAAGUGGCAGAGAUGAGGCAAUUAAUAGACAAAGACACAGAAACAGUUAUAAAUAUCCUCUGUGUACUCAAGAAUGCAGAGGAUCAGGAGUGAAAAA